CCUACGGGUGGCUGCAGUGAGGAAUAUUGGUCAAUGGGCGCGAGCCUGAACCAGCCAAGUCGCGUGAGGGAAGACGGUCCUAUGGAUUGUAAACCUCUUUUGUCGGGGAGCAAAAACCGCCACGCGUCCCGUUCUGAGUGUACCUGAAGAAAAAGCAUCGGCUAACUCCGUGCCAGCAGCCGCGGUAAUACGGAGGAUGCGAGCGUUAUCCGGAUUUAUUGGGUUAAAAGGGUGCGCAGGCGGAAGAUUAAGUCAGCGGUAAAAUUGCGGGGCUCAACCUCUUCGAGCCGUUGAAACUGGUUUUCUUGAGUGAGUGAGAAGUAUGCGGAAUGCGUGGUGUAGCGGUGAAAUGCAUAGAUGUCACGCAGAACUCCGAUUGCGAAGGCAGCAUACCGGCGCUCAACUGACGCUGAUGCACGAAAGUGUGGGUAUCGAACAGGAUUAGAUACCCGGGUAGUC
rnacentral:rRNA from 1 species